rnacentral:rRNA from 1 species
CCUACGGGAGGCAGCAGUGAGGAAUAUUGGUCAAUGGACGAGAGUCUGAACCAGCCCAGUAGCGUGAAGGAUGACUGCCCUAUGGGUUGUAAACUUCUUUUAUAUGGGAAUAAAACGUUCCACGUGUGGGAUUUUGUAUGUACCAUAUGAAUAAGGAUCGGCUAACUCCGUGCCAGCAGCCGCGGUAAUACGGAGGAUCCGAGCGUUAUCCGGAUUUAUUGGGUUUAAAGGGAGCGUAGGUGGCUUGUUAAGUCAGUUGUGAAAGUUUGCGGCUCAACCGUAAAAUUGCAGUUGAAACUGGCAGUCUUGAGUACAGUAGAGGUGGGCGGAAUUCGUGGUGUAGCGGUGAAAUGCUUAGAUAUCACGAAGAACUCCGAUUGCGAAGGCAGUUCACUGGACUGCAACUGACACUGAGGCUCGAAAGUGUGGGUAUCAAACAGGAUUAGAUACCCGAGUAGUC